rnacentral:rRNA from 1 species
UGGGGAAUUUUGGACAAUGGGCGCAAGCCUGAUCCAGCCAUGCCGCGUGCGGGAAGAAGGCCUUCGGGUUGUAAACCGCUUUUGUCAGGGAAGAAAUCUUCUGAGUUAAUACCUCGGGAGGAUGACGGUACCUGAAGAAUAAGCACCGGCUAACUACGUGCCAGCAGCCGCGGUAAUACGUAGGGUGCAAGCGUUAAUCGGAAUUACUGGGCGUAAAGCGUGCGCAGGCGGUUUUGUAAGACAGAGGUGAAAUCCCCGGGCUCAACCCGGGAACUGCCUUUGUGACCGCAAGGCUUGAGUGCGGCAGAGGGGGGAUGGAAUUCCGCGUGUAGCAGUGAAAUGCGUAGAUAUGCGGAGGAACACCGAUGGCGAAGGCAAUCCCCCUGGGCCUGCACUGACGCUCAUGCACGAAAGCGUGGGGAGCAAACAGGAUUAGAUACCCUGGUAGUCCACGCCCUAAACGAUGUCAACUGGUUGUUGGGAAGGUUCCUUCUCAGUAACGUAGCUAACGCGUGAAGUUGACCGCCUGGGGAGUACGGCCGCAAGGUUGAAACUCAAAUGAAUUGACGGGGUCAUAGCUGUUUCCUG